AGGUCCUGAGGUUUGGUCAUGUGUUAUAUAAGGAGACUAGCAAAAAAACAAAUCAAUGUAGAGGAUGCAAAGAUUGCUAGACAUCAAAAGACUGUGUUACCGUACUUCAACUCUAAGUUUAUGGGGAACUGAGGGAAGCGAGGCUCCGAGAAAGUUUAUGGGGAAAUGAGGAUCAAGGAUUUGAUGAAACUGACUUCUUCACAGGGAAAGAAUCAGUUGUUAUCCUUGGAUACAUGCAUCAAGUGAAGGAUUAUCGUUCACUUACCAGCUCUUAUA